rnacentral:rRNA from 1 species
AUGAACGCUGGCGGCGUGCCUAAUACAUGCAAGUCGAGCGAACAGACGAGGAGCUUGCUCCUCUGACGUUAGCGGCGGACGGGUGAGUAACACGUGGAUAACCUACCUAUAAGACUGGGAUAACUUCGGGAAACCGGAGCUAAUACCGGAUAAUAUAUUGAACCGCAUGGUUCAAUAGUGAAAGACGGUUUUGCUGUCACUUAUAGAUGGAUCCGCGCCGCAUUAGCUAGUUGGUAAGGUAACGGCUUACCAAGGCGACGAUGCGUAGCCGACCUGAGGGGGUGAUCGGCCACACUGGAACUGAGACACGGUCCAGACUCCUACGGGAGGCAGCAGUAGGGAAUCUUCCGCAAUGGGCGAAAGCCUGACGGAGCAACGCCGCGUGAGUGAUGAAGGUCUUCGGAUCGUAAAACUCUGUUAUUGGGAAGAACAAAUGUGUAAGUAACUAUGCACGUCUUGACGGUACCUAAUCAGAAAGCCACGGCUAACUACGUG